rnacentral:precursor_RNA from 14 species
GCGGAGUUCUCAUGAUCCCUGGUGUGAGGGUAUGUGCCCUUGGACUACAUCGUGGAAGCCAGCACCAUGCAGUCCAUGGGCAUAUACACUUGCCUCAAGGUUUAUUUCAUCACGACUG